rnacentral:rRNA from 1 species
AUUGAACGCUGGCGGCAGGCUUAACACAUGCAAGUCGAGCGAGCGGCGGACGGGUGAGUAAUGUCUGGGAAACUCCCUGCUGGAGGGGGAUAACUACUGGAACCUGUAGCUAAUACCGCCUACCAUCCUAUAUGCACAGAUGGUCAGAGCUAGUAGGUGGGGUAAUGGAUCACCUAGGCGACGAUCCCUAGCUGGUCUGAGAGGAUGACCAGCCACACUGUAACUUAGACACGGCCCAGACUCCUACGGGAGGCAGCAGUGGGGAAUAUUGCACAAUGGGCGCAAGCCUGAUGCAGCCAUGCCGCGUGUGUGAAGAAGGCCUUCGGGUUGUAAAGCACUUUCAGCGAGGAGGCGUUACUCGCAGAAGAAGCACCGGCUAACUCCGUGCCAGCAGCCGCGGUAAUUC